CCUAGCCACUACACCCUUCAACAUCUGAACCGCAACACACACUCCUGCCCUAUACCCCAGCUACACAAGUAGGUUCUACACAAACAUGCAAGUGUAUAGGCAGCUAAUAUUGGCAAUAAGAUGUUUUUCUCCAGCAUACUGUACAAUAUGAAUCCAUUAGACCUACGGGUCACCCAGCCACCUAAACUAAACUAUGUGCAGUAAUUUUCUAUGCCCUGUACUAGAUACAACGUGUAUAUUGCCAUCCUUGCUAUUGCUAUUAGGGCAUCGCAGGAAAGUUGGUUAACUCUUAACACUACAAUGGUAUAGGGUUUUUCAAUGGUAUAUGGUUUUUCUCUUUAACUCGGCCGCACUGCAAUAGGCUUUGGUGGGACCGAAUCACAUGGCACACCUACCCUUUCAACCCAAGAGCAGUAUACAGCUCAUACUCCCACUACACCUGCAGUACCUGCAACCACAUAGUAACUUACAAAAACUACAAAUGGAGACCAGGCCACUACGAUAACAAAUGCCCCCCACCCCAGGUUACAUGGUAUUUUAAUCUAUCCAGCAUGUUAUAUGCCACAAGCUCUCCCUUUACUUAUGUUCAACAAAUCAGAAACAGAAUACACUUGCGGCAAGACGAACAUACAUAUCAUUAUUGUUACACCACCUUAUCAUCUAAUACUUGAAUCUUUUUUUACAUAUCACAAUAUACACGCCAUCACUAUUUGCAUGUAUUCUGGACAUACGUUAACUAAAUACAAAAAUGUGCAGUAUAUACGAAAGCCAUGUAAGUGACUUAUGGUGAUUGUCUUUAUCGUGCUUGUCUCAGCUAUCGUGGCGUCUCAAGCCUGUUUGUUACCUUUUGCACGUGAAAAAUAAAGAAUUUAAAAAAAUAAAAUAA